GACGAACGCUGGCGGCGUGCUUAACACAUGCAAGUCGAACGGUGAACGAGGGAGCUUGCUCCCUCCGGAUCAGUGGCGAACGGGUGAGUAACACGUGAGCAAUCUGCCCCGAACUCUGGGAUAAGCGUUGGAAACGACGUCUAAUACCGGAUACGACGCGGGAGGGCAUCCUCUCCGCGUGGAAAGAACUUCGGUUCGGGAUGAGCUCGCGGCCUAUCAUCUUGUUGGUGAGGUAACGGCUCACCAAGGCGACGACGGGUAGCCGGCCUGGGAGGGUGACCGGCCACACUGGGACUGCGACACGGCCCAGACUCCUACGGGAGGCAGCAGUGGGGAAUAUUGCACAAUGGGCGCAAGCCUGAUGCAGCAGCGCCGCGUGAGGGACGACGGCCUUCGGGUUGUAAACCUCUUUUAGCAGGGAAGAAGCGAAAGUGACGGUACCUGCAGAAAAAGCACCGGCUAACUACGUG
rnacentral:rRNA from 1 species